rnacentral:ncRNA from 1 species
GUCAACACGUUGAAGAGAAGAGUAGAAUGUGGAAGGUCCCAGAGAGGGAGGCAUAUGCUGGAAGUCUCCUGUCGCGGAAGCAUUUGAAAACUACCUCGGAGUGGCCCUAAUCCGGUCCGGUGAUUCCGUUAUCAUCAAAUGAAGUGGUUCCGGCAGAAAUGCCGGUUCAAUCAGGGUGGAACCGCGAGAAUAUAUGCCUCGUCCCUUUU